rnacentral:rRNA from 1 species
CUCAGCAUACAGCUCAAUAACACGUGGCUAACCUACCCUUGGGACGGAAACAUCCCCGGGAAACUGGGGCUAAUUUCCGAUAGGUGAAGAACUCUGGAAUGGGUUUUCGCCGAAAAGGCGCUUAGGGCAUGCUUCUAGGUGUUGCCCAAGGAUGGGGCCGCGGCCGAUCAGGUUGUUGGUGAGGUAAUGGCUCACCAAGCCUUUAACCGGUACGGGCCGUGGGAGCGGUAGCCCGGAGAUGGGCACUGAGACAAGGGCCCAGGCCCUACGGGGCGCAGCAGUCGCGAAAACUUCGCAAUAAGCGAAAGCUUGACGGGGCCAUCCCGAGUGCCAUCUGCUGAGGAUGGCUUUUACCUAGUAUAGAUAGCUGGGGGAAUAAGGAGAGGGCAAGUCUGGUGUCAGCCGCCGCGGUAAUACCAGCUCUCCGAGUUGUGGGGAUGUUUAUUGGGCCUAAAGCAUCCGUAGCCGGCUGGACAAGUCCCCUGUUAAAUCCAGCGAUUAAUCGUUGGUCUGCGGGGGAUACUGUUCGGCUAGGGGGCGGGAGAGGCCGUCGGUAUUCCUGGGGUAGGGGUGAAAUCCUAUAAUCCCAGGAGGACCACCAGUGGCGAAGGCUGUCGGCUAGAACGCGCCCGACGGUGAGGGAUGAAAGCUGGGGGAGCGAACCGGAUUAGAUACCCGGGUAGUCCCAGCUGUAAACGAUGCAGGCUAGGUGUUAGGGCGGCUACGUGCCGCUCUAGUGCCGCAGGGAAGCUGUAAGCCUGCCGCCUGGGGAUACGNCCGGCAGGCUGAACUU